rnacentral:tRNA from 1 species
CCGGAUGUAGCUCAGCUUGGUUAGAGCGCUUGCUUUGGGAGCAAGAUGUCGCAUGUUCAAAUCGUGUCAUCCGGACCA